rnacentral:rRNA from 1 species
UCCGAGUUGUAAUUUGUAGAGGAUGUUUCGGGUACCGCCUCGGUCUAAAUUUCUUGGAACAGAAUGUCAGAGAGGGUGAGAAUCCCGUCUUGGACCGGCGGUAGGGCCCAUGUGAAACUCCUUCGACGAGUCGAGUUGUUUGGGAAUGCAGCUCAAAAUGGGUGGUAUAUUUCAUCUAAAGCUAAAUAUUGGCCAGAGACCGAUAGCGCACAAGUAGAGUGAUCGAAAGAUGAAAAGAACUUUGAAAAGAGAGUUAAACAGUAUGUGAAAUUGUUGAAAGGGAAGCGCUUGCAACCAGACUUGAGCGCGGCGGUUCCCCCUUCCUUUUGGUUGGGUUACUCCGUCGUGUCCAGGCCAACAUCGGUUCUGGGGGUCGGUUAAAGGCUUGGGGAAUGUACCUACGUCUUCGGGCGUAGACUUAUAGCCCCGAGUGUCAUGCGACCUCCCGGGACCGAGGAACGCGCUUCGGCUCGGAUGUUGGCGUAAUGGUUGUAAGCGGCCCGUCUUGAAACACGGACCA